ensembl:misc_RNA
UAAAGUGGAUGUGUGUCAGAAGGCCAAUAUUUUCCCAUAGAACAGGUGCAGCACAGUCACCAGCAGUGCAAGAUUCCCCCACAUUGAUCUGUAGAUAUGCCUCAACCCUCUCUAAAGAACCCCCAAGUUGCAAAAAGGUUGUUCAGUCAAUCCUUAGCUUUUCUGCUGAGAUUUC